UCGGUAACUACGCCAUGGACAUCAACUGUUGGUAGCUAUGCCUUAAGUCAGGUCUUGUUGCUGCUGUUAAGGAAGGACAGUUGAAAUAACAAAAUAGUGUGGCAGCCUCUAAGUUUCAUGUGUUUUCCUAGUCCUAUGGACUCCCCUUCUCUCCAGCUGGGAAUAUUUCAGUCUGAAGGAAAUACAGACAGAAUACAUAGAUGCUUGCUUCCUCAAAACUACUGAGAAAGAUGGACUGUCAUAAUGAUGAGCAUAAUAAUUGUGUGUAACAUACUAAUGCAUACAUACUUAUGUACUCCCUGGAAUCUUCCACAUUCUACUAAAUAGAAGUGCUUGUCAGCUUCAGACACAGCAGUCAACAUCCUUCACAAGUGAGCACAGAUGAAAGCGUUCACUCUAGUACAGAUUCAAGACGCAUUCUGUGAAGCAUUUAUCUAAUUAUUCUUUAUCAAUAAAAGCUCUGGAAUCAGAUAUCAAGCACAAAGCAAAACAAAGAUGCCUAAGAAAACGUCUGCUCAGCUUUCAAUGCAUCUAAGAAAAGAUCUGAGUGGAAAAUGCCGCAAAUGAGAAGAGUACACAUUGCCGUGAGGAUUUGCUUUUCUGAAGUAAUCAGUGCCUCCUUAAGCUUCAGGCUUCCUGGGAGCCUUUGAAGUGGAAUUCAAGACACAAAGUAAAGCUGUACUGUGGCUUUAAAGAAAACAAAAUCCUAGCGCUCUUUGUUCCCUGUUUCCAGACACCUGUCAGUUCAUUCACAAGCAGUGCUGGAGGCACAGUCCAAGUGUGUAUGUCCAGGCACUCAGACUUUUACAGGGAAUCAAGUUACUUCUAAUGCUGCACAAUCAUAGUUUCAGGGGAUGAAUAAACAAUGUUUGUUGUGGGCCGAGGGUCUGCAAUUUAAAAUGCUUCUUAUGUAUGGAUUUCUCAUAGAAGUCAGUGCCACUGCCGCAAACAUGCAAUAUAAUCAUCUUGUACUCAGAGACCAAAUCUCGGUGAUUCAUACUGUAGCUCCUCUCAUGCCGUUUGUUCCCUGGGACUCAAAAAUACUACGGCUGCUGUUUUGGAAUUAAGGAAGACAGUAGAAAAAAUAAUGGCAGAAGAAUCAAUCAAUCUAUUUACUAACCUAACCUAAGCUCCUUUGUAUGCCAAUCUAACACUUCUACCUCUACCAGCCUACCACACCUACCUAUACCUGCCUACUGCACCUACCUCUACCAGCCUACCAUACUUACCUAUACCAGUCAACCAUACCUACCUAUUCCAGCCUGCUACAGCUGUCAGUACUAGCCUUCUAUCCCUUCUUAUAUCAGUCUUCCACUCCUAUGUAUAUCUGUCUUCCAAACAUACCUACAUCUGCCUACAUGAAUUUUCUAAACCUACCUAUAAGAAGUACAAUAAUUACAUGUUUGAUUAUCUUUUUUGGUUCCCUCUGAUUGUCAGAUUAUUUUUAGAAACUGUUUAAAAUCCACAAUUCCAUACUUCCACGAGUCUUUUUCUCAUGAUGAGAGGUAGGCUUAGAUUAUGAUGGUAGCAAAAGGUACAAUUGGGGCGGGACAAUUCUGUAUUCUGUUAAUUAUGUUUUUAAUAAAUGCUGAUUGGCCAGUAGCCAGACCGGAAGUAUAGGUGAAACAACCAGACAGGAA